UACGUAGGCCCCGAGCGUUGUCCGGAUUUAUUGGGCGUAAAGCGAGCGCAGGUGGUUUAUUAAGUCUGGUGUAAAAGGCAGUGGCUCAACCAUUGUAUGCAUUGGAAACUGGUAGACUUGAGUGCAGGAGAGGAGAGUGGAAUUCCAUGUGUAGCGGUGAAAUGCGUAGAUAUAUGGAGGAACACCGGUGGCGAAAGCGGCUCUCUGGCCUGUAACUGACACUGAGGCUCGAAAGCGUGGGGAGCAAACAGG
rnacentral:rRNA from 1 species